UGAAUACGAGAUGCUACGGCGUCGAAGCAGUCUAUGUCAUACUUCCAAGAAAAGCUUGCACUGUCAUAAACAAAUAAUGCCUGUACCAUAACCGACACAGGUGGGUAGGUAGAGUAUACUAAGGGGCGCGAGAUAACUCUCUCUAAGGAACUCGGCAAAAUGACUCCGUAACUUCGGGAGAAGGAGUGCCUAAUUUAUAAGGUUGCAAUAACAAGAUCCAAGCAACUGUUUACCAAAAACACAGGUCUCCGCUAAGUCGUAAGACGAUGUAUGGGGGCUGACGCCUGCCCAGUGCCAGAAGGUUAAAGAAGUUGGUUAGCAUCCGCGAAGCUGAUAACUGAAGCCCUGGUGAACGGUGGCCGUAACUAUAACGGUCCUAAGGUAGCGAAAUUCCUUGUCGGGUAAGUUCCGACCCGCACGAAAGGCGUAAUGAUUUGGAUACUGUCUCGGAGAGGGGCUCGGUGAAAUAGACUUGUCUGUGAAGAUGCGGACUACCUGCACCAGGACAGAAAGACCCUAUGAAGCUUUACUGUAACCUGAAAUUGAAAUUGGACUUUACUUGCGCAGUAUAGGUGGGAGGCGUUGAGAAUAUUCUUGCGGGAUUAUUGGAGCCAUCAGUGAGAUACCACUCUUGUAAUGUUAGAUUUCUAACUUUGUAUCAUUAUCUGGUCAAAGAACAGUUUCAGGCGGGCAGUUUGACUGGGGCGGUCGCCUCCUAAACGGUAACGGAGGCGCACAAAGGUUUCCUCUGAACGGGUAGAAAUCGUAUCUAGAGUGUAAAGGCAUAAGGAAGCUUGACUGUGAGACCUACAAGUCGAGCAGGGACGAAAGUCGGUCUUAGUGAUCUGACGGUGCUGAGUGGAAAGGCCGUCACUCAACGGAUAAAAGUUACUCUAGGAUAACAGGCUGAUCUCCCCCAAGAGUUCACAUCGACGGGGAGGUUUGGCACCUCGAUGUCGGCUCAUCGCAUCCUGGGGCGGUAGUACGUCCCAAGGGUUGGGCUGUUCGCCCAUGAAAGCGGUACGCGAGCUGGGUUCAGAACGUCGUGAGACAGUUCGGUCCAUAUCCGGUGUAGGCGUUAGAAUAUUGAGAGGAGCCUUCUUUAGUACGAGAGGACCGAGAAGGACAUACCUCUGGUGUACCAGUUAUCGUGCCAACGGUAAACGCUGGGUAGCUAUGUGUGGAGUGGAUAACCGCUGAAAGCAUCUAAGUGGGAAGCCCACCUCAAGAUAAG
rnacentral:rRNA from 1 species